rnacentral:rRNA from 1 species
UGAGGAAUAUUGGUCAAUGGGCGAGAGCCUGAACCAGCCAAGUAGCGUGCGGGAUGAAGGCCCUUGUGGUCGUAAACCGCUUUUAUCAGUGAAUAAAGUGCAUCACGUGUGGUGUCAUUGCAGGUAGCUGAAGAAAAAGGACCGGCUAAUUCCGUGCCAGCAGCCGCGGUAAUACGGAAGGUCCGGGCGUUAUCCGGAAUUAUUGGGUUUAAAGGGAGCGCAGGCGGGAGUGUAAGUCAGCUGUUAAAUAUCAGGGCCCAACUCUGUUAUGCAGUUGAAACUAUAUUUCUUGAGUACGCACAGGGAUGGCGGAAUUCAGGGUGUAGCGGUGAAAUGCUUAGAUAUCCUGAAGAACUCCGAUCGCGAAGGCAGCCAUCCGGAGCGUAACUGACGCUGAGGCUCGAAGGUGCGGGUAUCGAACA